rnacentral:tRNA from 1 species
GCCUUUGUGGUGUAAUGGUCAGCACACUGAGCCGGUAUUUCAGAGGUCCGCGGUUCGAUUCCCGGCGAAGGCG